rnacentral:rRNA from 1 species
ACGAACGCUGGCGGCGUGCUUAACACAUGCAAGUCGAACGGAAAGGCCCUGCUUUUGUGGGGUGCUCGAGUGGCGAACGGGGGAGUAACACGUGAGUAACCUGCCCUUGACUUUGGGAUAACUUCAGGAAACUGGGGCUAAUACCGGAUAGGAGCUCCUGCUGCAUGGUGGGGGUUGGAAAGUUUCGGCGGUUGGGGAUGGACUCGCGGCUUAUCAGCUCGUUGGUGGGGUAGUGGCUUACCAAGGCUUUGACGGGUAGCCGGCCUGAGAGGGUGACCGGCCACAUUGGGACUGCGAUACGGCCCAGACUCCUACGGGAGGCAGCAGUGGGGAAUAUUGCACAAUGGGCGGAAGCCUGAUGCAGCAACGCCGCGUGCGGGAUGACGGCCUUCGGGUUGUAAACCGCUUUCGCCUGUGACGAAGCGUGAGUGACGGUAAUGGGUAAAGAAGCACCGGCUAACUACGUG